rnacentral:rRNA from 1 species
CCUACGGGGGGCAGCAGUAGGGAAUCUUCCACAAUGGGCGAAAGCCCGAUGGAGCAACGCCGCGUGGGUGAAGAAGGUCUUCGGAUCGUAAAACCCUGUUGUUAGAGAAGAAAGAGGGUGAGAGUAACUGUUCACGCGUUGACGGUAUCUAAACAGAAAGCCACGGCUAACUACGUGCCAGCAGCCGCGGUAAUACGUAGGUGGCAAGCGUUGUCCGGAUUUAUUGGGCGUAAAGAGAACGCAGGCGGUUAUUUAAGUCUGAUGUGAAAGCCUCCGGCUCAAGCGGGGUGGGGCAUUGGAAACUG